AGAAAACGGAGAAUCGCACGAUAUUGAAGCUAACGAUGCAUCUAACACACAGGCUAUUGUAGCGGUGGAUGAUAAAUUUUAUUUGAGGCCUGAUACUUCUCACCACUAUACAAACGAUUUGUCAUUUAAAAGUAAGGUGAGGCAAAGGAAUGGCUUAUCAACAAGGCAAAGGAAAAGAGUUUAAGGAACAUUUUUAUAAAACAAGAUAUUGGUCUAGGCACAAGCAUGUGCUAUCCGAACUUGAAGGUGAUCCGGAACCUAAGAGGUCGUCCAAUAAAGGAUCAAGGUGGACCAACCGCACGAAAAGUGAAACCAAAGGUCUCUACGGAGCCCUCUCAAGUAAGUCAAGAUGAGGUGGUGGAAGAGGUUGUGUUAGUGGAGACCCAAACUAGCUCAGGAGUUGUUGAGAAAAUGAGCGACUCGAAACUAACCCAACCAACAGAAAUGGUAACUAUAAAAGAGAAGUAUGGUACUAUUCGUUGUCCUAGGGAUUUUCAUGGAAGACCAAUUCGAUCAACAUAUACGAUUAAAAUAGCAUAUGGAACAACUCCCUCCACUCAUUGUUCCAUUUGUUUUGUCCAUCGACGAGGUUGAUGGGGAUAGCGAUUGUGGGUUUCACGUUGCUACGGAACAAACGGGUCACUUUGACGCGGCGGUUAUCGAAGAUGUCACCCAAUGCCAAUAUUUAAGAAAUAAUAUGGCGGUGCAACUAAUAAAGCACAAGGAUUUCUAUACGAAUAUGAUGAGGCGAGGAGAUAGAUACGACAAAGAAUAAGAGUUCAAAGAUUUAUGUGCACUUGUAAAGUGCUGAAAGGGAUUGAAGACAAUCAGAGCCAAAUAUUGAAUGACAAUGCCUAGAUGCGGAUAUAUCCUAGCAGACGUUUUGAAUUGCGUGGUACAUUUUUUUGUUCCUCCUAAGUAUGGACAAUUUUUAACGUUUGCACCUACAAGGAUGGUUUUCAAUGAAUCGGUUAAAGAUAGAAGAAUUGUUAUGGCAUUUGUGAAUGAGAUGCAUUUUAUUGGUUUAACAGUAAAGAGAGAUUUUUCAUUACCUCCGUUGAGUGGUUGUAUGGAUUACUUCCCAACAAAUUAUUGUAAGGAUUGGUUGAAACAA